GACGAACGCUGGCGGCGUGCUUAACACAUGCAAGUCGAACGGAAAGGCCCCUUUGGGGGUCCUCGAGUGGCGAACGGGUGAGUAACACGUGAGUAACCUGCCCUUGACUUCGGGAUAACUUCAGGAAACUGGGGCUAAUACCGGAUAGGAAUCCUUGCUGCAUGGUGGGGGUUGGAAAGCUUCGGCGGUUUUGGAUGGACUCGCGGCUUAUCAGCUUGUUGGUGGGGUAGUGGCUUACCAAGGCUUUGACGGGUAGCCGGCCUGAGAGGGCGACCGGCCACAUUGGGACUGAGAUACGGCCCAGACUCCUACGGGAGGCAGCAGUGGGGAAUAUUGCACAAUGGGCGGAAGCCUGAUGCAGCAACGCCGCGUGCGGGAUGACGGCCUUCGGGUUGUAAACCGCUUUCAGCAGGGGCGAAGCUUGUGGUGACGGUACCUGCAGAAGAAACACCGGCUAACUACGU
rnacentral:rRNA from 1 species